rnacentral:rRNA from 1 species
GAUGAACGCUAGCGGGAGGCCUAACACAUGCAAGUCGAGCGGUAAGGUUUUCGGACCCUAGAGCGGCGAACGGGUGAGUAACGCGUACGAAACCUACCUUUAAGAGAGGAAUAGCCCUGGGAAACUGGGAGUAAUGCCUCAUAGUACUCAUUUACCGCAUGGUUUAUGGAUUAAAGCUACGGCGCUUAAAGAUGGUCGUGCGUCUGAUUAGCUAGUUGGUAGGGUAACGGCCUACCAAGGCUACGAUCAGUAGGGGGCGUGAGAGCGUGGCCCCCCCACACGGGUACUGAGACACGGACCCGACUCCUACGGGAGGCAGCAGUAAGGAAUAUUGGGCAAUGGAGGAAACUCUGACCCAGCGACGCCGCGUGAGGGAUGAAGGCCUUCGGGUUGUAAACCUCUUUCAGUAGGGAAGAAGCGAAAGUGACGGUA